GGUAGAUACAUUAUAUAAAAGAUAUAAUUUGGAGAAUGUGUGAUAGUAGUUCAAACUAGAAUGCGUUUCGUCCGUAGCCUAAUUAAUUUGGCGGUACAAACCGCCCAAUCAGGCAGCGCCACCUGCCCGUCCGCCAUGUUCUGACCUCAGCUAAUCACUGACCAACUGAGAACAACUGAAGCGAAGCCGAUAUGGAACGUAAACUGUGAUUCUGAAAAAAGUAUAAAGGCCUGCAGCAGGCGACCAACGCAGGAACCCAGAACGAGAAAACAUCUUCAUCAGUAUUUGGCGAGUAGGCUACUACGGUUCACUGGCUGUGGUCUAUGGAGUUUGAAUGGUUCCUUCUCAGCCCUAGACCAGCGCCACCUCUUCCACCAACACCGGGUUGGAGCCGCGGUCUGCGCUGAGGAACGGUCCUCUGGUGGACGGCGGCCGCGGCACCAGGAAGCAAUAGAGAUGUCUUUCGCCAAGAUAAGGAUUACGCCGUCGCAGCAGUCGGUCCUGCGGGCCUCCGAUGCAGCCGCAGCCUUCACCGCCGCCAUGGGGCCACGCGGGCCCCAGGCUCCCGCCAGCGCCAAGAGGCCGGAGGAGGUGGAGAAGGAGGCCCGAGUUGUUUGCUGUAUAUAUUUAUCAUUUUGCAGGGCUAGUUUAUAUAGUUUUUUUUUUGUUGUUCAGUGCAUACACACAGCCAAUUU
ensembl:lncRNA